AACCAUAGAAACCUGCGGAGUACCUGCGGAAGGAUCAUUACAAGUGACCCCGGUCUAACCACCGGGAUGUUCAUAACCCUUUGUUGUCCGACUCUGUUGCCUCCGGGGCGACCCUGCCUUCGGGCGGGGGCUCCGGGUGGACACUUCAAACUCUUGCGUAACUUUGCAGUCUGAGUAAAUUUAAUUAAUAAAUUAAAACUUUCAGCAAUGGAUCU
rnacentral:misc_RNA from 1 species